GACCCAUUAGUCAAGGGGUUAAGACAUGCCACUUUCACUGCUACACCCUGGGUUCGAUCCCCAGAUGGGUUA
rnacentral:tRNA from 1 species